rnacentral:tRNA from 1 species
GCCAAUGUAACUCAUUUGGGAAAGUGUUAGACUGAAAAUCUGAAGGUCCCUGGUUCAAUCCCAGGCUUUGGUA